AAUAGGGUAGCUAUUAACCUGCCGACAGGUGUGGUUGUCGGAGCAUCCUUCCUUUGCCUGUCUAGGUUGUUAUCUGAUCCUCGUAGUCGUUCCCCAAGUGCGUCGGCUUGGUAUAUCUUUAAAACUCAGUGCUUUCUAAAGGAUGAAGAAGGAAAGAAGGAAUCAGGAACAUCGCAGAAGCGACUGAGAAACAGUUAGCAGACUGGGACCUCUCCUGUAGUUGCAAGGACUCUAGCUGCAGAGGAAACUGAGCUUUGCCCUACCUCGGUUACAUCUGUAAUGGCUACUCACUAGAGUUCUGUUUCGCUUCUUAAGGAGUAAACUUCCCUGACCACCCUUGCCGAGUGCUUAGAUUUCAUAUAGGACAGGCUGGACUGGACCUAGAGCUUUGAGGCAGAGAAUGACCAUGAACUUCAAGUCUUCCUGCAUUCAUUUCUCAAGUACUGGAUUUCAGGACACAGAAUCUUUAAGGAGAUGGCUAAGGUAAAACAAGGUCAUAUGGAUCCUGACUCUAUCUGACCAGCAUUCUUGCAAGGAAAGGAGAUAAGGAUACAGAUACAAGUGGUGUAGCUACAUGAAGACACAGAAGACAUGUCUCAGCCAAGCAGAGGCCUCCGGAGAGGUCUCACAGCACCUUGGUCUCAGACUUUGCCAGCUCUGAAACAGCAGCCUCAGGAGUAUAAGCAUCCUGGCCUGAGGAACUCAAGACUGAAGCUAAGUGAGCAAAGAUGGUGAUUUUUCCUAUAUUCCCUUUUCAAGCAUCUCUCUGUAAUGAAGGAAGGGGCUCUGCUACAGGGGCUUCCAGGAGGAAGAGCAUAACAUAUGGGAGGAUUUGCUGCCCCACGUAGUAGGAAAGCCUAAGCUGACUUCAAUACUCUGUGAUUGCUCCAGGGUCUAAAGUGGGCCUAUUGGCAGGAAGAGGCCAUCUGUGCAACCUAAUUAAGCCAGCCAGCGAGACCUAGAAGGGGGUUGCUAUGCUUCUAUUGUGUGCAUGUGCCAAACUGGCUAACCUCAGUCUUCAGGGGACAACACAAUAGGCCCAACCCCACUUCCCAGGGCAACCUAACCUAUCAGCAGACUCUGCCAAAGGGACCCCGCUGGGACCUCACCCAUGAUCUUGGCAGCUGUGGAUGCUCCGAUGAUGAUGGACAAGUUGGGUGCAAUGAAGGACAUCCGGGACUCCACGUACUCAUAGAUGCGGUGUUUGGAGGCAUUCAGCUCCAGUGCCAUGUCACAGGCCUCCUCAAGCCGCUCUAGCUCCUCAUCCGACAGCUGCUGCCUACAUUGUGGAGCACUUGAGGGUUAUGGGCAGACCCCAGUUUUGCUAGGGUCUUAGCUCUUAUUCAGCAAAGGACACUGCUCCAACUGCAGCCAGAGUCUAUCCACUGGGUCAAUCUGGUCUUGACCUCAUCUUGCUCCAAAACUAAACCUUCCUAUAGCUCCCCAAAGCCUUGAGGCUAGCAAGCAAGAUCCUCAGACUGGCACUCAAGGUCUCCCAUACAGAUGGAGGUCCACGGUCCCCACACCUGCAACCUUGGUGCACACAACACAGGAGUCCCUUUAGUGAGAUCUGCUGAAUCGUUGGCUCUACAGCAUUAUCCUUUCUGCUUUUCUGCCCCAUCCUCCCAGCCACCGGCACUCAAGGCUAUUUCACUCCUCCUGCCUUCACAGGUACUGUUCCAUCUCCCUGGAACAUUUUUUAAGCCUGUUCCUAGAAACCACUUUAUGUAUAGACAAUUAUAUUGCUAUUGAG
ensembl:processed_transcript Gm15927 predicted gene 15927